GAUGAACGCUGGCGGCGUGCUUAACACAUGCAAGUCGAACGGAAAGGCUCCUGCUUGCAGGGGUACUCGAGUGGCGAACGGGUGAGUGACACGUGGGUGAUCUGCCCUGCACUUCGGGAUAAGCCUGGGAAACUGGGUCUAAUACCGGAUAGGACGAUGGUUUGGAUGCCAUUGUGGAAAGUUUUUCGGUGUGGGAUGAGCUCGCGGCCUAUCAGCUUGUUGGUGGGGUAAUGGCCUACCAAGGCGUCGACGGGUAGCCGGCCUGAGAGGGUGUACGGCCACAUUGGGACUGAGAUACGGCCCAGACUCCUACGGGAGGCAGCAGUGGGGAAUAUUGCACAAUGGGCGCAAGCCUGAUGCAGCGACGCCGCGUGGGGGAUGACGGCCUUCGGGUUGUAAACUCCUUUCGCUAGGGACGAAGCGCAAGUGACGGUACCUGGAGAAGAAGCACCGGCUAACUACGUG
rnacentral:rRNA from 1 species